rnacentral:lncRNA from 1 species
UAUAUUUCAUUAUCCAGUGGACCAUAAAGGUAUGCGGUUACAACAUCCAUUAACCGCAUAUCCAAAUUUUCUUUGAUGGCCAGACUUAUUAAAAAUCGAAAUGUAGUUGCAUCCACCACAGGGGAGUAUGUCUCCUCAUAAUCGAUUCCUGGUAUUUGUGAGAAUCCUUGUGCUACAAGCCGUGCUUUGUAUCUUACAAUAACACCAUGUUCAUUUCUCUUCCUCACAAAUACCCACUUAUAUCCCACUGGUUUAACAUUAUAAGGUGUCCGGAUAAUCGAUCCAAAGACAUUCCUUUUCUUAAAUGAUUCUAACUCCACGUUUAUGGCUUCUUUCCAUUUGAGCCAAUCUGAUCUUUGAGUGCACUCUAGUAUAGACGUGGGUUCAUGAUCCUCAUCUAAGUCCAUCACAUCAAGGGCUACUUGGUAUGCAAAUAUAUCAUUGAUGUCGACAUCUUUCCGGUUCCAUCUUGUCCCAGACAUUAAAUAAUUAAUUGAGAUCUCAUCAUUAGCACCUUCAGUACCAUGAGGCUCGGCGUCCCGAGUCUCAUUGGUUGGUACCUUAGGCAUGGCCAUUUCGGCCUUGUCUGGACAAUCUAUGACCUCGGUUUCUUUUGCACCUUUCUUUAGUUUCCGAGGUCUUUUAUCUUUGGAACCAAUUGGUCUACCACGCUUAAGACGUGCUUUAGACUCUGUAGCCACUUGAUUGUGUCCAUCUUGGACAUCAAUACUUAUUGGUGCAUUACAAGCUGGUAUAUAGGACUUAGUCACUCUUUUCGGGUCAGCAAAGGAAUCAGGCAAUUGAUUAGCUAGCUUUUGCAUAUGAAUUAUUUUCUGGACUUCUAAAUCACAUGAUUGAGUCCGAGGAUCUUGCCAUGAUAAGGAUGUUUGAUUCCAUACAAUUUCUUUGCCCAGCUUGUUAUUUUCUCCCCCUAAUGUUGGGUACUCUGAUUCAUCAAAAUGACAAUCAGCAUAUCUGGCCUUAAAUAAAUCUCCAGUAGUAGGCUCAAGAUAUUUAAUAAUGGUUGGAGAAUCAAAACCAACAUAUAUUCCCAUCCUCCUUUGAGGUCCCAUUUUUGUUCUCUGUGGUGGAGCAAUAGGGACGUACACAGAACAUCCAAAUGUUUUGAUAUGGGAUACGUCUGGUUCAUGACCCGAGAGUAAUUGGGAUGGAGAAUAUCUAUGUUCACUGGAUGGCCUUAUGCGUAUUAAUUCAGCAGCAUGUAAUACCGCAUGUCCCCAAGCUGACACUGGUAGCUUCGACCUCAUGAGUAAUGGUCGAGCAAUCAACUGGAUUCUUUUAAUGAAGGAUUCGGCCAAUCCGUUCUGUGUAUGUACAUGUGCCACGGAGUGUUCCACACUUACCCCCAUGGACAUACAGUAAUCAUUAAAAGCUUGGGAACUGAAUUCGCUUGCAUUGUCAAGACGUAUAGUCUUUAGUGGGAAAUCUGGAAAAUGGGCUCGCAGUCUUAUGAUCUGUGCCAAUAGUCUUGCCAAUGCUAAGUUUCUAGAUGAUAAUAGACAAACAUGCGACCAUCUGGUCGAUGCGUCAAUGAGGACCAUAAAAUAUCGAAAUGUCCCACAAGGUGGGUGUAUUGGUCCACAUAUAUCACCAUGUAUUCUUUCCAGAAAGUUUAAUGUUUCCUUACUCACCUUUCCAGGUGAUGGCCUUAUUAUUAAUUUCCCUUGUGAGCAUGGAAUACAUGUAAUGCUCAUAGGGAUAGUUAUCCUAUCUUUCAAGGAAUGGCCAGUUGAGCUCGAGAUUAUUUUGCGCAUCAUGGAUCUACCAGGAUGGCCAAGCCUUUCAUGCCAUUGUUUAAAGGCUUCUCUGAACUCAUUAGGAAUUGAAGUGUUAGCCUCACUCGAUUUUAUAUUGGCACAAUAGAGGCCUAUUGAUAUAGCAGGGAUAGUCUCUAGGACUUUCUUAUGGCCUUGGGCAUUUUCAUAAAUCAAGAGGAAUUCUUUCUUUCCCUCGCCCCUAGUUUCAACAUGUAGAUCAUUCAUGCGAAUGUCUUUGAAACUUAACAGAUUUCUCUUUGAUUUAGGAGAAUAUAAUGCAUUAGAGAUUUCUAAAUGCGUGCCUUUAGGCAUCACUAAGUGAGCCGGGCCAUGGCCUUCAAUAAGGCUAGCCGGUCCUGCUAUAGUAUUUAUUUUGGCACUCUUUAAAAUGAGGUUAACAAAAUAUCUUUUGUCUUUUAAUAUAGUGUGACUUGAUCCACUAUCCACUACUAGCUGGUUCUUGUCUUCUUUCAUUUCUGAAAAUAGACAAGAGUCAACACCUUUGAUAUUACUUUAAGGUUUAAAGUAUGUUUUAAUGGCUUUGUUUUAUGUUCUUAAUAAUUUUAACUUUGUAUAAGGCAUAUAUAAAGUAAAAACUUUAUUUCAUAAAUAGAAUUGCCAAAGUCAUAGAACAUGGGGAAACAAAAGACAUAAAGCCAAAUCAAGAAUUCAAAAAUGCAAAGACAAAAGCAAUAUGAUAUCGAAAUCUUCAUAUUCAGCCACUUGUAAGGAGGUCUGAAGUCUCAAAGUCCUCAUGAUCAUCUUUGUCAUGGGCUUGAUCAUCCUCAUGGUCCAGAUCAUUCUCAUCAUCAUAAUGGACCAAAUUUGCCUCAGAGUUCUUGCCCUUUAUGCUCUACUGGUAGAGCUUAACAAGGUGUUGGGGAGUUUUGCAUUUAUUAGCCCAAUGAUUGGUCAUCCCACAACGAUAGCAAGCAGAUUUGGUCGAGCUCGAGCCAUGGGUUUUGAAGUCGGACUUAUACCCAUGGUUAGCUUGAUGACCUCGGCUAUAGCCUCGGCCUCGGCUGCGACCAAGAUGGUCUCGUGGUUGAAAUCCACGGCCACGUGGUUGAAACCCACGGUUACGACCUUGCCAUCUACCACGGCCUCUCAUGCGACCACGGUAUGACUCUCUUGGAGUCUCAUCUUUUGGCUCUACGGCCGCAUGUGCCUCAGGCAAUGCUUUAGCACCAGGAGGCCUUAGCUCACUGUUCAUCAUGAGCAACUCAUUGUUUUGCUCAGCUAGCAACAAACAAGAGAUUAAGGCAGCAUAAGUGGAGAAACCUUUCUCUCGGUACUGUUGCUGAAGCACAACAUUGCUGGUGUGGAAUGUGGAGAAUGUCUUCUCCAACAUAUCAGCAUCAGUAAUAGUCUCACCACAAAGUUUCAACUUUGAGACUAUUUUGAACAAAGCCGAGUUAUACUCUUCCACAGACUUAUAGUCUUGGAUUCUCAGGUUUCUCCAAUCAUAAAGGGCUUUUGGCAAUAUCACAGUUUUCUGAUGAUUAAAUCUGGUUUUCAACUCUGUCCAAAGUUCCAGAGGAUUCUCAAUUGUGAGAUACUGGUCCUUGAGACCUUCAGCAAGGUGAUGGCGAAUGACAACGAUUGCCUUGUAAUUAUCCUUGUCUGAUGGCUCAGUGCCUUCAGUGAUAGUAUCACCAAGGUUUCUGGACCUUAAGAGGAUUUUGGUAUCAAGCUCCCAUUGGAGGUAAUCACCGAGUCCCUUGGAUUUCAGGAUGAUCUUAGCAUCGAGCGCCCACUGAAGGUAAUUGUCUCCAGAUAGAUUUAGGGAAGCAUAUUCAAGGUUGUUGAUUUUCGACAUCUGAAUCAAAUAUCCAUAAAGGAGUAAGGAUUCAUAAUAUAAUUCAAGAUUUGAAUUUAUAUGCCAAGGGGAUUAAUGAAUAAUUCAGGAUUUGAAUUUAUAUGCCAAGGGGAUUGAUGAUUUAUUUAAUGAUGGUUUAUUAUGCAUUUUAUUUUCAGAAAAUAUUUUAGAAAUAUUUUAAGAUGCAUUCAAAUGUUCAAGAUAUUUGUAAACCAAAAUAGAUUUUCAAAAUCGGUUAAAACUUGGUUUAUAAUUUCAAGUAAAGCAAAUAUACUGAAUUUUAAAUGGAAACCGAUUUUGUCUAACUAUAUGCAAACAGUGUGAAUCAUUUAGAUGCAAACAACAUGAACCACUUCAGAUGCACUAGUAUCAUCAUUGCUAAAGCUAUGCGAACAUGUAUUAUUGGUUUCAAUUAUGUGAUACCUAUGUCCAGUUUUAACAAUAUGAUAGUUGGAUGCAUGCAAAGGUCAGUUCAUGGAUGAUUCAAGUUCGAUCUAAUGAUUUACUAAAUGAUGCUAUCAGGUAUGCAAAUGAUCAGUACAUAGUUUUAAUCAUAGAAUCAGGUUCAAGGAUGAAACUAGAUCAAGUUUUAUUUUAACUAGCAAACUAUGUGAUCAAAAUUCAGUAUGAGAUAAAUUCAAUAUGUUGGUUUAGAAAAUAAUUUUCAGUCAAAGAUAUGCACUUAAUAAAAUCGAUUAUGCAUAUAUAAAAUCAUAAAAGGGUUUUUAAAACUUUGAUAGUUACAAAACAAAUAUUAAAAGUCAAGGAUAUGCAAUGAAUGAAACUUUGAUAGUUACAAAACAAAUAUUAAAAGUCAAAGAUAUGCAAUGAAUGAUUUUAAUUUUGAUUUUAUUGGUGGGUUGACUGAUUUUAGAGGAGCUGGCCGAAAAUGGCACAGCAAGGAUUUGAUGGAAUUUUGUUUUGGCCAGAUUAUACACUUAUGUUUAUCACAUCUGGUAAAAUGGCCAAACAAAAGGAUUGAAUCAAAAAGGUUUAAGCUUUCUCUAAUAAUUUUGUGAUUCAUAAGUUUUUAUAAACAAGAUUCAUGUAGAUCUUUAGGUAUUUUGAUAAGUUUAUAAGUUUUAGAGAAACAUAGAACCUUUAGAGAAUUUUAAGAUUUAUGGAUUCAAAAUACUUUUAGAAUCAAGUUUCAUAUGGAUCAUAUGGAUCAUAGAAACAAGAUUAAUAUUUUAAAUCCAUAGAUUGUUUAUAGGUUAUGGAUUCAUAUAGAUCCUAGAUUUCUUUCAAAUAUAAUGGUGUUCUUUAGAUUUCAAGGUUUUGAUAUGUUUACCUUUUUCACCACAAGAAUCUGAGAGGACCACCGUGAGAGUUGGCCGGAAUUUGAGAGAGAGAGGAGUUUCCGGCGGAGAGAGAGAGGUGGUCUGGUGGAGAGAAGACUGAGCGCCUGGUGGAGCAAAGGCUGAGCACCGGAGGAGCUGGCCGGAAAAGAGGAACGCCGGCUGAGAGAGAUUUCUCAGGUGGAGAGCACAAUCGUGCUGAUAACGUGUUAGAAAUAUGAGAGAAGUGUUUGCUGUGAAGUUGUGUCUUUCUCAUUAGCUCACACUAUCAAUAUAUAGUGGAGGUUCCAAGGGUUUACAACAAAGGAGAGGAUCUACACAUUUAAUACAUAUUGACCACAAAGAUAGACUUGGUCAAAGCGCAUAAAUGCUCCGGUUGAAUGGGUCUUCAUCUUGUCUAGUCUCGGACGGAAUGUAGACGGGCCGGAGACGGAUGUAGACGGGCCGGAUAGUCUGGUCGGAUGUAAACCUCCUUGAUGGUUAAUGGCAAUCCACAUAUCCAUUCAAUGGAUUUAUAACACUCCCCCUUGGAUGCCAUAACCAUAUCGGGCUUGUAAUGUGCUACCGUUGCCUCGUUAAAACCUCUCCCGGAAAACCCAAAACCCAAUGUGGUAAAAAGGGAAACCAAGGAAAGGAAAAAGAGUACAACACACAUUACUCCCCCUGAUUUGGACAUCACUGAAGAUCCUUGAGUCUUCGCAUGCCAAUCUGCUGCGUGAGCUUCCUGAAUGUGCUGGUGGGAAGUGACUUGGUGAAGAGGUCGGCUGAGUUCUCACUUGACCGGAUUUGAGUGACGUUGACCUCUUUGGCUUUCUGCAACUCAUGUGUGAAGAAGAACUUGGGUAGUACAUGUUUGGUUCGGUCACCUUUGAUAUACCCAUCUUUGAGUUGAGCAAUGCAGGCUGCAUUAUCCUCAUAUAUGAUGGUCGGACCAUUGUCCUCGACCAUUCCACUAUCUGAUCGGAUGUGUUGGGUCAUAGACUUCAACCAUACACACUCACGACUUGCCUCAUGCAUGGCUAAGAUUUCUGAGUGAUUAGAUGAUGUGGCUGCUAUAGUUUGUUUCAUGGAACGCCAUGAUAUUGCAGUACCACCAUGAGUGAACACAUAACCGGUUUGGGACCGACCAUGGUGUGGAUCAGAUAAGUAGCCUGCAUCAGCAAAGCCUACUAAACCAUCUUUGGUUUCAUUGGUAUAAAAUAGACCCAAAUCCUUAGUUCCUUGAAGGUAACGUAGGAUAUGUUUAAUUCCAUUCCAGUGCCUUUGGGUCGGACAUGAACUAAAACGGGCUAGGAGACUCACGGCAAAACAUAUAUCUGGUCUAGUGUGGCUAGCCAAAUACAGUAACGCUCCUAUGGCACUGAGGUAAGGCACUUCAGGACCCAGGACAUUCUCAUCAUCCUCUUUAGGACGGAAUGGGUCAGUGUCCACUCCAAGGGACCUCACGACCAUUGGGCUGGUCAAUGGGUGAGCCUGGUCCAUGUUAAAUCUCUUGAGUACCUUUUCUUUAUAUGCCUUUUGAUGCACAAGGAUUCCUCCUUUUAUGUACUCAAGUUGUAACCCCAAACAGACUUUAGUUUUACCUAGGUCUUUCAUUUCAAACUCUUUCUUGAGAUAUUCAACUGUUUGGGUGAUUUCCCCAGGGGUUCCAAUGAUGUUCAAAUCAUCAACAUACACUGCUAUGAUAACAAAUCCAUUGUUUGCAAACUUCUUUAUAAAGAUACAUGGACUGAUAGGGUCGUUCUUAUAGCCAACUUUGGCAAGGUAUUCGCUUAAGCGAUUAUACCACAUUCGACCACUUUGCUUAAGUCCAUAUAAGGAUUUGUUCAGCCUUAUGCAGUGUUCUUCUCGAGAACCUUUAUUAGCUUUAAGCUCAACACCCUCUGGUAAUCUCAUAUAUAUUUCAUUAUCCAGUGGACCAUAAAGGUAUGCGGUUACAACAUCCAUUAACCGCAUAUCCAAAUUUUCUUUGAUGGCCAGACUUAUUAAAAAUCGAAAUGUAGUUGCAUCCACCACAGGGGAGUAUGUCUCCUCAUAAUCGAUUCCUGGUAUUUGUGAGAAUCCUUGUGCUACAAGCCGUGCUUUGUAUCUUACAAUAACACCAUGUUCAUUUCUCUUCCUCACAAAUACCCACUUAUAUCCCACUGGUUUAACAUUAUAAGGUGUCCGGAUAAUCGAUCCAAAGACAUUCCUUUUCUUAAAUGAUUCUAACUCCACGUUUAUGGCUUCUUUCCAUUUGAGCCAAUCUGAUCUUUGAGUGCACUCUAGUAUAGACGUGGGUUCAUGAUCCUCAUCUAAGUCCAUCACAUCAAGGGCUACUUGGUAUGCAAAUAUAUCAUUGAUGUCGACAUCUUUCCGGUUCCAUCUUGUCCCAGACAUUAAAUAAUUAAUUGAGAUCUCAUCAUUAGCACCUUCAGUACCAUGAGGCUCGGCGUCCCGAGUCUCAUUGGUUGGUACCUUAGGCAUGGCCAUUUCGGCCUUGUCUGGACAAUCUAUGACAUCGGUUUCUUUCGCACCUUUCUUUAGUUUCCGAGGUCUUUUAUCUUUGGAACCAAUUGGUCUACCACGCUUAAGACGUGCUUUAGACUCUGUAGCCACUUGAUUGUGUCCAUCUUGGACAUCAAUACUUAUUGGUGCAUUACAAGCUGGUAUAUAGGACUUAGUCACUCUUUUCGGGUCAGCAAAGGAAUCAGGCAAUUGAUUAGCUAGCUUUUGCAUAUGAAUUAUUUUCUGGACUUCUAAAUCACAUGAUUGAGUCCGAGGAUCUUGCCAUGAUAAGGAUGUUUGAUUCCAUACAAUUUCUUUGCCCAGCUUGUUAUUUUCUCCCCCUAAUGUUGGGUACUCUGAUUCAUCAAAAUGACAAUCAGCAUAUCUGGCCUUAAAUAAAUCUCCAGUAGUAGGCUCAAGAUAUUUAAUAAUGGUUGGAGAAUCAAAACCAACAUAUAUUCCCAUCCUCCUUUGAGGUCCCAUUUUUGUUCUCUGUGGUGGAGCAGUAGGGACGUACACAGAACAUCCAAAUGUUUUGAUAUGGGAUACGUCUGGUUCAUGACCCGAGAGUAAUUGGGAUGGAGAAUAUCUAUGUUCACUGGAUGGCCUUAUGCGUAUUAAUUCAGCAGCAUGUAAAACCGCAUGUCCCCAAGCUGAUACUGGUAGCUUCGACCUCAUGAGUAAUGGUCGAGCAAUCAACUGGAUUCUUUUAAUGAAGGAUUCGGCCAAUCCGUUCUGUGUAUGUACAUGUGCCACGGAGUGUUCCACACUUACCCCCAUGGACAUACAGUAAUCAUUAAAAGCUUGGGAACUGAAUUCGCUUGCAUUGUCAAGACGUAUAGUCUUUAGUGGGAAAUCUGGAAAAUGGGCUCGCAGUCUUAUGAUCUGUGCCAAUAGUCUUGCCAAUGCUAAGUUUCUAGAUGAUAAUAGACAAACAUGCGACCAUCUGGUCGAUGCGUCAAUGAGGACCAUAAAAUAUCGAAAUGUCCCACAAGGUGGGUGUAUUGGUCCACAUAUAUCACCAUGUAUUCUUUCCAGAAAGUUUAAUGUUUCCUUACUCACCUUUCCAGGUGAUGGCCUUAUUAUUAAUUUCCCUUGUGAGCAUGGAAUACAUGUAAUGCUCAUAGGGAUAGUUAUCCUAUCUUUCAAGGAAUGGCCAGUUGAGCUCGAGAUUAUUUUGCGCAUCAUGGAUCUGCCAGGAUGGCCAAGCCUUUCAUGCCAUUGUUUAAAGGCUUCUCUGAACUCAUUAGGAAUUGAAGUGUUAGCCUCACUCAAUUUUAUAUUGGCACAAUAGAGGCCUAUUGAUAUAGCAGGGAUAGUCUCUAGGACUUUCUUAUGGCCUUGGGUAUUUUCAUAAAUCAAGAGGAAUUCUUUCUUUCCCUCGCCCCUAGUUUCAACAUGUAGAUCAUUCAUGCGAAUGUCUUUGAAACUUAACAGAUUUCUCUUUGAUUUAGGAGAAUAUAAUGCAUUAGAGAUUUCUAUAUGCGUGCCUUUAGGCAUCACUAAGUGAGCCGGGCCAUGGCCUUCAAUAAGGCUGGCCGGUCCUGCUAUAGUAUUUAUUUUGGCACUCUUUAAAAUGAGGUUAACAAAAUAUCUUUUGUCUUUUAAUAUAGUGUGACUUGAUCCACUAUCCACUACUAGCUGGUUCUUGUCUUCUUUCAUUUCUGAAAAUAGACAAGAGUCAACACCUUUGAUAUUACUUUAAGGUUUAAAGUAUGUUUUAAUGGCUUUGUUUUAUGUUCUUAAUAAUUUUAACUUUGUAUAAGGCAUAUAUAAAGUAAAAACUUUAUUUCAUAAAUAGAAUUGCCAAAGUCAUAGAACAAAAGACAUAAAGCCAAAUCAAGAAUUCAAAAUGCAAAGACAAAAGCAAUAUGAUAUCGAAAUCUUCAUAUUCAGCCACUUGUAAGGAGGUCUGAAGUCUCAAAGUCCUCAUGAUCAUCUUUGUCAUGGGCUUGAUCAUCCUCAUGGUCCAGAUCAUUCUCAUCAUCAUAAUGGACCAAAUUUGCCUCAGAGUUCUUGCCCUUUAUGCUCUCCUGGUAGAGCUUAACAAGGUGUUGGGGAGUUUUGCAUUUAUUAGCCCAAUGAUUGGUCAUCCCACAACGAUAGCAAGCAGAUUUGGUCGAGCUCGAGCCAUGGGUUUUGAAGUCGGACUUAUACCCAUGGUUAGCUUGAUGACCUCGGCUAUAGCCUCGGCCUCGGCUGCGACCAAGAUGGUCUCGUGGUUGAAAUCCACGGCCACGUGGUUGAAACCCACGGUUACGACCUUGCCAUCUACCACGGCCUCUCAUGCGACCACGGUAUGACUCUCUUGGAGUCUCAUCUUUUGGCUCUACGGCCGCAUGUGCCUCAGGCAAUGCUUUAGCACCAGGAGGCCUUAGCUCACUGUUCAUCAUGAGCAACUCAUUGUUUUGCUCAGCUAGCAACAAACAAGAGAUUAAGGCAGCAUAAGUGGAGAAACCUUUCUCUCGGUACUGUUGCUGAAGCACAACAUUGCUGGUGUGGAAUGUGGAGAAUGUCUUCUCCAACAUAUCAGCAUCAGUAAUAGUCUCACCACAAAGUUUCAACUUUGAGACUAUUUUGAACAAAGCCGAGUUAUACUCUUCCACAGACUUAUAGUCUUGGAUUCUCAGGUUUCUCCAAUCAUAAAGGGCUUUUGGCAAUAUCACAGUUUUCUGAUGAUUAAAUCUGGUUUUCAACUCUGUCCAAAGUUCCAGAGGAUUCUCAAUUGUGAGAUACUGGUCCUUGAGACCUUCAGCAAGGUGAUGGCGAAUGACAACGAUUGCCUUGUAAUUAUCCUUGUCAGAUGGCUCAGUGCCUUCAGUGAUAGUAUCACCAAGGUUUCUGGACCUUAAGAGGAUUUUGGUAUCAAGCUCCCAUUGGAGGUAAUUAUCUCCGGAGAGAUUGAGGGAAGCAUAUUCAAGGUUGUUGAUUUUCGACAUCUGAAUCAAAUAUCCAUAAAGGAGUAAGGAUUCAUAAUAUAAUUCAAGAUUUGAAUUUAUAUGCCAAGGGGAUUGAUGAUUUAUUUAAUGAUGGUUUAUUAUGCAUUUUAUUUUCAGAAAAUAUUUUAUAUGCAUUAAAAUGUUCAAGAUAUUUGUAAACCAAAAUAGAUUUUCAGAAUCGGUUUAAAACUUGGUUUAGAAUUUCAAAUAAAGCAAAUAUACUGAAUUUUAAAUGGAAACCGAUUUUGGCUAACUAUAUGCAAACAGUGUGAAUCAUUUAGAUGCAAACAACAUGAACCACUUCAGAUGCACUAGUAUCAUCAUUGCUAAAGCUAUGCGAACAUGUAUGAUUGGUUUCAAUUAUGUGAUACCUAUGUCCAGUUUUAACAAUAUGAUAGUUGGAUGCAUGCAAAGGUCAGUUCAUGGAUGAUUCAAGUUCGAUCUAAUGAUUUACUAAAUGAUGCUAUCAGGUAUGCAAAUGAUCAGUACAUAGUUUUAAUCAUAGAAUCAGGUUCAAGGAUGAAACUAGAUCAAAUUUUAUUUUAACUAGCAAACUAUGUGAUCAAAAUUCAGUAUGAGAUAAAUUCAAUAUGUUGGUUUAGAAAAUAAAUUUUCAGUCAAAGAUAUGCACUUAAUAAAAUCGAUUAUGCAUAUAUAAAAUCAUAAAAGGGUUUUUAAAACUUUGAUAGUUACAAAACAAAUAUUAAAAGUCAAGGAUAUGCAAUGAAUGAUUUUAAUUUUGAUUUUAUUGGUGGGUUGACUGAUUUUAGAGGAGCUGGCCGAAAAUGGCACAGCUAGGAUUUGAUGGAAUUUUGUUUUGGCCAGAUUAUACACUUAUGUUUAUCACAUCUGGUAAAAUGGCCAAACAAAAGGAUUGAAUCAAAAGGUUUAAGCUUUCUCUAAUAAUUUUGUGAUUCAUAAGUUUUUAUAAACAAGAUUCAUGUAGAUCUUUAGGUAUUUUGAUAAGUUUAUAAGUUUUAGAGAAACAUAGAACCUUUAGAGAAUUUUAAGUUUUAUGGAUUCAAAAUAGUUUUAGAAUCAAGUUUCAUAUGGAUCAUAUGGAUCAUAGAAACAAGAUUAAUAUUUUAAAUCCAUAAAUUGUUUAUAAGAUAUGGAUUCAUAUAGAUCCUAGAUUUCUUUCAAAUAUAAUGGUGUUCUUUAGAUUUCAAGGUUUUGAUUUGUUUACCUUUUUCACCAUAAGAAUCUGAGAGGACCACCGUGAGAGUUGGCCGGAAUUUGAGAGAGAGAGGAGUUUCCGGCGGAGAGAGAGAGGUGGUCUGGUGGAGAGAAGACUGAGCGCCUGGUGGAGCAAAGGCUGAGCACCGGAGGAGCUGGCCGGAAAAGGGGAUCGCCGGCUGAGAGAGAUUUCUCAGGUGGAGAGCACAAUCGUGCUGAUAACGUGUUAGAAAUAUGAGAGAAGUGUUGCUGUGUAAGUUGUGUCUUUCUCAUUAGCUCACACUAUCAAUAUAUAGUGAGGUUCAUUAGGGUUUACAGCAAGGAGAGAAUCUACACAUUCAAUACAUAUUGACCACAAAGAUAGACUUGGUCAAAGCUCAUAAAUGCUCCGGUUGAAUGGGUCUUCAUCUUGUCUAGUCUCGGACAGAAUGUAGACGGGCCGGAGACGGAUGUAGACGGGCCGGAUAGUCUGGUCGGAUGUAAACCUCCUUGAUGGUUAAUGGCAAUCCACAUAUCCAUUCAAUGGAUUUAUAACACUCCCCCUUGGAUGCCAUAACCAUAUCGGGCUUGUAAUGUGCUAACGUUGCCUCGUUAAAACCUCUCCCGGAAAACCCAAAACCCAAUGUGGUAAAAAGGGAAACCAAGGAAAGGAAAAAGAGUACAACACACAUUACUCCCCCUGAUUUGGACAUCACUGAAGAUCCUUGAGUCUUCGCAUGCCAAUCUGCUGCGUGAGCUUCCUGAAUGUGCUGGUGGGAAGUGACUUGGUGAAGAGGUCGGCUGAGUUCUCACUUGACCGGAUUUGAGUGACGUUGACCUCUUUGGCUUUCUGCAACUCAUGUGUGAAGAAGAACUUGGGUAGUACAUGUUUGGUUCGGUCACCUUUGAUAUACCCAUCUUUGAGUUGAGCAAUGCAGGCUGCAUUAUCCUCAUAUAUGAUGGUCGGACCAUUGUCCUCGACCAUUCCACUAUCUGAUCGGAUGUGUUGGGUCAUAGACCUCAACCAUACACACUCACGACUUGCCUCAUGCAUGGCUAAGAUUUCUGAGUGAUUAGAUGAUGUGGCUGCUAUAGUUUGUUUCAUGGAACGCCAUGAUAUUGCAGUACCACCAUGAGUGAACACAUAACCGGUUUGGGACCGACCAUGGUGUGGAUCAGAUAAGUAGCCUGCAUCAGCAAAGCCUACUAAACCAUCUUUGGUUUCAUUGGUAUAAAAUAGACCCAAAUCCUUAGUUCCUUGAAGGUAACGUAGGAUAUGUUUAAUUCCAUUCCAGUGCCUUUGGGUCGGACAUGAACUAAAACGGGCUAGGAGACUCACGGCAAAACAUAUAUCUGGUCUAGUGUGGCUAGCCAAAUACAGUAACGCUCCUAUGGCACUGAGGUAAGGCACUUCAGGACCCAGGACAUUCUCAUCAUCCUCUUUAGGACGGAAUGGGUCAGUGUCCACUCCAAGGGACCUCACGACCAUUGGGCUGGUCAAUGGGUGAGCCUGGUCCAUGUUAAAUCUCUUGAGUACCUUUUCUUUAUAUGCCUUUUGAUGCACAAGGAUUCCUCCUUUUAUGUACUCAAGUUGUAACCCCAAACAGACUUUAGUUUUACCUAGGUCUUUCAUUUCAAACUCUUUCUUGAGAUAUUCAACUGUUUGGGUGAUUUCCCCAGGGGUUCCAAUGAUGUUCAAAUCAUCAACAUACACUGCUAUGAUAACAAAUCCAUUGUUUGCAAACUUCUUUAUAAAGAUACAUGGACUGAUAGGGUCGUUCUUAUAGCCAACUUUGGCAAGGUAUUCGCUUAAGCGAUUAUACCACAUUCGACCACUUUGCUUAAGUCCAUAUAAGGAUUUGUUCAGCCUUAUGCAGUGUUCUUCUCGAGAACCUUUAUUAGCUUUAAGCUCAACACCCUCUGGUAAUCUCAUAUAUAUUUCAUUAUCCAGUGGACCAUAAAGGUAUGCGGUUACAACAUCCAUUAACCGCAUAUCCAAAUUUUCUUUGAUGGCCAGACUUAUUAAAAAUCGAAAUGUAGUUGCAUCCACCACAGGGGAGUAUGUCUCCUCAUAAUCGAUUCCUGGUAUUUGUGAGAAUCCUUGUGCUACAAGCCGUGCUUUGUAUCUUACAAUAACACCAUGUUCAUUUCUCUUCCUCACAAAUACCCACUUAUAUCCCACUGGUUUAACAUUAUAAGGUGUCCGGAUAAUCGAUCCAAAGACAUUCCUUUUCUUAAAUGAUUCUAACUCCACGUUUAUGGCUUCUUUCCAUUUGAGCCAAUCUGAUCUUUGAGUGCACUCUAGUAUAGACGUGGGUUCAUGAUCCUCAUCUAAGUCCAUCACAUCAAGGGCUACUUGGUAUGCAAAUAUAUCAUUGAUGUCGACAUCUUUCCGGUUCCAUCUUGUCCCAGACAUUAAAUAAUUAAUUGAGAUCUCAUCAUUAGCACCUUCAGUACCAUGAGGCUCGGCGUCCCGAGUCUCAUUGGUUGGUACCUUAGGCAUGGCCAUUUCGGCCUUGUCUGGACAAUCUAUGACAUCGGUUUCUUUCGCACCUUUCUUUAGUUUCCGAGGUCUUUUAUCUUUGGAACCAAUUGGUCUACCACGCUUAAGACGUGCUUUAGACUCUGUAGCCACUUGAUUGUGUCCAUCUUGGACAUCAAUACUUAUUGGUGCAUUACAAGCUGGUAUAUAGGACUUAGUCACUCUUUUCGGGUCAGCAAAGGAAUCAGGCAAUUGAUUAGCUAGCUUUUGCAUAUGAAUUAUUUUCUGGACUUCUAAAUCACAUGAUUGAGUCCGAGGAUCUUGCCAUGAUAAGGAUGUUUGAUUCCAUACAAUUUCUUUGCCCAGCUUGUUAUUUUCUCCCCCUAAUGUUGGGUACUCUGAUUCAUCAAAAUGACAAUCAGCAUAUCUGGCCUUAAAUAAAUCUCCAGUAGUAGGCUCAAGAUAUUUAAUAAUGGUUGGAGAAUCAAAACCAACAUAUAUUCCCAUCCUCCUUUGAGGUCCCAUUUUUGUUCUCUGUGGUGGAGCAGUAGGGACGUACACAGAACAUCCAAAUGUUUUGAUAUGGGAUACGUCUGGUUCAUGACCCGAGAGUAAUUGGGAUGGAGAAUAUCUAUGUUCACUGGAUGGCCUUAUGCGUAUUAAUUCAGCAGCAUGUAAAACCGCAUGUCCCCAAGCUGAUACUGGUAGCUUCGACCUCAUGAGUAAUGGUCGAGCAAUCAACUGGAUUCUUUUAAUGAAGGAUUCGGCCAAUCCGUUCUGUGUAUGUACAUGUGCCACGGAGUGUUCCACACUUACCCCCAUGGACAUACAGUAAUCAUUAAAAGCUUGGGAACUGAAUUCGCUUGCAUUGUCAAGACGUAUAGUCUUUAGUGGGAAAUCUGGAAAAUGGGCUCGCAGUCUUAUGAUCUGUGCCAAUAGUCUUGCCAAUGCUAAGUUUCUAGAUGAUAAUAGACAAACAUGCGACCAUCUGGUCGAUGCGUCAAUGAGGACCAUAAAAUAUCGAAAUGUCCCACAAGGUGGGUGUAUUGGUCCACAUAUAUCACCAUGUAUUCUUUCCAGAAAGUUUAAUGUUUCCUUACUCACCUUUCCAGGUGAUGGCCUUAUUAUUAAUUUCCCUUGUGAGCAUGGAAUACAUGUAAUGCUCAUAGGGAUAGUUAUCCUAUCUUUCAAGGAAUGGCCAGUUGAGCUCGAGAUUAUUUUGCGCAUCAUGGAUCUGCCAGGAUGGCCAAGCCUUUCAUGCCAUUGUUUAAAGGCUUCUCUGAACUCAUUAGGAAUUGAAGUGUUAGCCUCACUCAAUUUUAUAUUGGCACAAUAGAGGCCUAUUGAUAUAGCAGGGAUAGUCUCUAGGACUUUCUUAUGGCCUUGGGUAUUUUCAUAAAUCAAGAGGAAUUCUUUCUUUCCCUCGCCCCUAGUUUCAACAUGUAGAUCAUUCAUGCGAAUGUCUUUGAAACUUAACAGAUUUCUCUUUGAUUUAGGAGAAUAUAAUGCAUUAGAGAUUUCUAUAUGCGUGCCUUUAGGCAUCACUAAGUGAGCCGGGCCAUGGCCUUCAAUAAGGCUGGCCGGUCCUGCUAUAGUAUUUAUUUUGGCACUCUUUAAAAUGAGGUUAACAAAAUAUCUUUUGUCUUUUAAUAUAGUGCGACUUGAUCCACUAUCCACUACUAGCUGGUUCUUGUCUUCUUUCAUUUCUGAAAAUAGACAAGAGUCAACACCUUUGAUAUUACUUUAAGGUUUAAAGUAUGUUUUAAUGGCUUUGUUUUAUGUUCUUAAUAAUUUUAACUUUGUAUAAGGCAUAUAUAAAGUAAAAACUUUAUUUCAUAAAUAGAAUUGCCAAAGUCAUAGAACAAAAGACAUAAAGCCAAAUCAAGAAUUCAAAAUGCAAAGACAAAAGCAAUAUGAUAUCGAAAUCUUCAUAUUCAGCCACUUGUAAGGAGGUCUGAAGUCUCAAAGUCCUCAUGAUCAUCUUUGUCAUGGGCUUGAUCAUCCUCAUGGUCCAGAUCAUUCUCAUCAUCAUAAUGGACCAAAUUUGCCUCAGAGUUCUUGCCCUUUAUGCUCUCCUGGUAGAGCUUAACAAGGUGUUGGGGAGUUUUGCAUUUAUUAGCCCAAUGAUUGGUCAUCCCACAACGAUAGCAAGCAGAUUUGGUCGAGCUCGAGCCAUGGGUUUUGAAGUCGGACUUAUACCCAUGGUUAGCUUGAUGACCUCGGCUAUAGCCUCGGCCUCGGCUGCGACCAAGAUGGUCUCGUGGUUGAAAUCCACGGCCACGUGGUUGAAACCCACGGUUACGACCUUGCCAUCUACCACGGCCUCUCAUGCGACCACGGUAUGACUCUCUUGGAGUCUCAUCUUUUGGCUCUACGGCCGCAUGUGCCUCAGGCAAUGCUUUAGCACCAGGAGGCCUUAGCUCACUGUUCAUCAUGAGCAACUCAUUGUUUUGCUCAGCUAGCAACAAACAAGAGAUUAAGGCAGCAUAAGUGGAGAAACCUUUCUCUCGGUACUGUUGCUGAAGCACAACAUUGCUGGUGUGGAAUGUGGAGAAUGUCUUCUCCAACAUAUCAGCAUCAGUAAUAGUCUCACCACAAAGUUUCAACUUUGAGACUAUUUUGAACAAAGCCGAGUUAUACUCUUCCACAGACUUAUAGUCUUGGAUUCUCAGGUUUCUCCAAUCAUAAAGGGCUUUUGGCAAUAUCACAGUUUUCUGAUGAUUAAAUCUGGUUUUCAACUCUGUCCAAAGUUCCAGAGGAUUCUCAAUUGUGAGAUACUGGUCCUUGAGACCUUCAGCAAGGUGAUGGCGAAUGACAACGAUUGCCUUGUAAUUAUCCUUGUCAGAUGGCUCAGUGCCUUCAGUGAUAGUAUCACCAAGGUUUCUGGACCUUAAGAGGAUUUUGGUAUCAAGCUCCCAUUGGAGGUAAUUAUCUCCGGAGAGAUUGAGGGAAGCAUAUUCAAGGUUGUUGAUUUUCGACAUCUGAAUCAAAUAUCCAUAAAGGAGUAAGGAUUCAUAAUAUAAUUCAAGAUUUGAAUUUAUAUGCCAAGGGGAUUGAUGAUUUAUUUAAUGAUGGUUUAUUAUGCAUUUUAUUUUCAGAAAAUAUUUUAUAUGCAUUAAAAUGUUCAAGAUAUUUGUAAACCAAAAUAGAUUUUCAGAAUCGGUUUAAAACUUGGUUUAGAAUUUCAAAUAAAGCAAAUAUACUGAAUUUUAAAUGGAAACCGAUUUUGGCUAACUAUAUGCAAACAGUGUGAAUCAUUUAGAUGCAAACAACAUGAACCACUUCAGAUGCACUAGUAUCAUCAUUGCUAAAGCUAUGCGAACAUGUAUGAUUGGUUUCAAUUAUGUGAUACCUAUGUCCAGUUUUAACAAUAUGAUAGUUGGAUGCAUGCAAAGGUCAGUUCAUGGAUGAUUCAAGUUCGAUCUAAUGAUUUACUAAAUGAUGCUAUCAGGUAUGCAAAUGAUCAGUACAUAGUUUUAAUCAUAGAAUCAGGUUCAAGGAUGAAACUAGAUCAAAUUUUAUUUUAACUAGCAAACUAUGUGAUCAAAAUUCAGUAUGAGAUAAAUUCAAUAUGUUGGUUUAGAAAAUAAAUUUUCAGUCAAAGAUAUGCACUUAAUAAAAUCGAUUAUGCAUAUAUAAAAUCAUAAAAGGGUUUUUAAAACUUUGAUAGUUACAAAACAAAUAUUAAAAGUCAAGGAUAUGCAAUGAAUGAUUUUAAUUUUGAUUUUAUUGGUGGGUUGACUGAUUUUAGAGGAGCUGGCCGAAAAUGGCACAGCUAGGAUUUGAUGGAAUUUUGUUUUGGCCAGAUUAUACACUUAUGUUUAUCACAUCUGGUAAAAUGGCCAAACAAAAGGAUUGAAUCAAAAGGUUUAAGCUUUCUCUAAUAAUUUUGUGAUUCAUAAGUUUUUAUAAACAAGAUUCAUGUAGAUCUUUAGGUAUUUUGAUAAGUUUAUAAGUUUUAGAGAAACAUAGAACCUUUAGAGAAUUUUAAGUUUUAUGGAUUCAAAAUAGUUUUAGAAUCAAGUUUCAUAUGGAUCAUAUGGAUCAUAGAAACAAGAUUAAUAUUUUAAAUCCAUAAAUUGUUUAUAAGAUAUGGAUUCAUAUAGAUCCUAGAUUUCUUUCAAAUAUAAUGGUGUUCUUUAGAUUUCAAGGUUUUGAUUUGUUUACCUUUUUCACCAUAAGAAUCUGAGAGGACCACCGUGAGAGUUGGCCGGAAUUUGAGAGAGAGAGGAGUUUCCGGCGGAGAGAGAGAGGUGGUCUGGUGGAGAGAAGACUGAGCGCCUGGUGGAGCAAAGGCUGAGCACCGGAGGAGCUGGCCGGAAAAGGGGAUCGCCGGCUGAGAGAGAUUUCUCAGGUGGAGAGCACACGGGGAAAGAAGACCCUGUUGAGCUUGACUCUAGUCCGACUUUGUGAAAUGACUUGAGAGGUGUAGAAUAAGUGGGAGCUCCGGCGCAAGUGAAAUACCACUG